AACCAAGGCAACGAUCGGUAGCCGGACUGAGAGGUUGAACGGCCACAUUGGGACUGAGACACGGCCCAGACUCCUACGGGAGGCAGCAGUGGGGAAUAUUGCACAAUGGGGGAAACCCUGAUGCAGCGACGCCGCGUGGAGGAAGAAGGUCUUCGGAUUGUAAACUCCUGUUGUUGAGGAAGAUAAUGACGGUACUCAACAAGGAAGUGACGGCUAACUACGUGCCAGCAGCCGCGGUAAAACGUAGGUCACAAGCGUUGUCCGGAAUUACUGGGUGUAAAGGGAGCGCAGGCGGGAAGACAAGUUGGAAGUGAAAUCUAUGGGCUCAACCCAUAAACUGCUUUCAAAACUGUUUUUCUUGAGUAGUGCAGAGGUAGGCGGAAUUCCCGGUGUAGCGGUGGAAUGCGUAGAUAUCGGGAGGAACACCAGUGGCGAAGGCGGCCUACUGGGCACCAACUGACGCUGAGGCUCGAAAGUGUGGGUAGCAAACAGGAUUAGAUACCCUGGUAGUCCACACCGUAAACGAUGAUUACUAGGUGUUGGAGGAUUGACCCCUUCAGUGCCGCAGUUAACACAAUAAGUAAUCCACCUGGGGAGUA
rnacentral:rRNA from 1 species